GGCCCUGUUCUGAUUAUUACACUGCCUUGCAACAAACAAACUCCUCGACCCGUAUCAGUGUGGCUUUCAAGAAGGCCGAUCCACAUCGGAUCAUCUCGCUGCCACAAAGAAACAGAAGCGGGCCACGAUGCUCUCCUGCAUGUGGACGGCGGCACCUACAGUGGCCCACUGUCCAGCCUUGGCGACCCACCUGCUUGCGCCUUUCGUCGCCGUUGAGUGGUCGGUACGUAAAGCCAGGUUCCUCGAUGUCGGCCAUGUGCUGCCUGACCAAAGUGGC